rnacentral:rRNA from 1 species
GCUUAACGCGAAGAACCUUACCAGGGCUUGACAUCCUUGGAAUUUCUCCGAAAGGAGAAAGUACUUUAUUGGACCAAGUGACAGGUGUUGCAUGGCCGUCGUCAGCUCGUGUCGUGAGAUGUUAGGUUAAGUCCUUCAACGAGCGCAACCCUUAUGUUUAGUUGGUAUUUUUCUAAACAGACUGCCCCGGUAACGGGGAGGAAGGAGGGGAUGAUGUCAGGUCAUUAUUACCCUUACGCCCUGGGCUAGAAACGCGCUACAAUGGCUGGUACAAAGGGCUGCCAACCCGCGAGGGGGAGCAAAUCCCAUCAAAACCAGUCCCAGUUCGGAUUGCAGGCUGAAACUCGCCUGCAUGAAGCCGGAAUCACUAAUAAUCGUAGGUCAGCACACUACGGUGAAUACGUUCCCGGGUCUUGUACACACCG